CUGGCGGGGGGACAACGCGAGGCUGGGGGCCGUGGGCUGGGGGCGCAGUGGGCCUGGCUGGGGGCGGGGUGGGGGCUGCGCCGCGGGGCCCGGCGGCGCCCGGCACCACCCCCCGUCCCCCGCUGCCUCCCCUUCCGCUCCCCGGAAGCGCUGAGUCGUCCUGCCUUAUCUGGGGGCCGCUAUUUCGGGCUCCGCUCCGAGCGCGGUGACUAUUUUUAGCCGCGCUCGGGUAAAAAUGGACGCGGCGCCGCGCGGGUUCGCGAGGCCGCGCGCGUCCCCUCGCGAGAACUGCGGCCGCGCGCGCUCCCUUCGCGAGAACUGCGGCCGCGCGCGCCCCCACCUCCCCCUCGCGAGAACUGCAGCCGCGAGCGCGCGCGCGCCUGAGUCACCCCCGCCCGCUCCCCCGCGCGGCGAGGAGUGCGGCCGCCGGCUCGCGACGCUCUGCAUCCGCUCGAGCAUCUCCGGCUCCCGGGCGCCUGGAAGCCGGCGGGGCGCAGAAUGUUCCAGGAACGUCGGGACGUGUCCACCGAUGGCGGACUUUUGGGCGGAGGCGCCGCGCCCCCUGGCGGCCCCCGCGGGGAUUGCAGGCGGGAGCUGGACCAGGAGUCCAUCCCUCCGCACGCCCGUUUUCUCCAGGAGGAAACUGAGGCCGGGAGCGGAACUGGGUGGGGGCCUUGCAGCGUGGAUUGCAAGAUCUGGAGAGGAAGCAGCGGGGGCCUGAGCUGGCAGAGCGUAGAUUGCAAGAGCUUUCACAGCGGGAUCCUUCAGCUUCGAGUUGGUUCCAUCCUGUGCUUGGGAGCUCGUUACCUCCCGGCAUGUAGAUACCAUUCAUCAGCAGCAGUAGUAAUAUCGAUUACUAUUUAAAAAAUAAUCGCUGCUAUUUAUCCAGCACCUGCUCUUUGCCCAGCGGUCUGCUAAAUGCCUUACCUGCAUUAUUUCACUGAAUCUUCACCCUCGACCUAAGAGGUGAAGUAUUGUUUUCUCCCCCAUGAACAGACGUGGAGACCUGUGUCCCCACCUUCCUUUCCUCCCAGCCACCUGGGCGUCUGUGGCUUCCAAGGCCUUCUGCUGUCUUUUGGGAAACCUCUCCUUUUUAAAUUUCAGUUCACCUGGUUGUCUUGGGGCUCACCCCAUCCUCCUUUUCCAGGGAGGGGCACAUGAUCCAGGCCCAAGCAACCAGAGCAUUCCAGUUCUUCUGUCCUCUGAUGACAGUGAUUGGUUCAGAGGCACAGACCGGGAUGGGAACCUGGGCGCCGAGGCUGCCUUCCCCGGCAGGGCCACAUUCCACAGUCAUCACCGGCUGAUGGUGAGGUUACCUUACUGCACUGUUCUCCUCCCACUGUCACGCUUUCAACCCUGUCUGAGCUCUGACUGCCUCCCAGUCUCAGCCCCACCAUCUCUUCUGCACUCAAGACCCAAGUGUCUGGCCGCUCUGGGAAGCCUCCCCCUGGAUGUCCCCCAGGAUUUCACCCUGACCUCAACAGCUUCCUUCCUGUGCCUCUUCCUCCCGGAUCCCCAGCUCAGGCACGGUCCCAUCACUGACUCUUGUCUCCUGAACCAGAGGCCUGGGCCUCCUCCUGGAUGCCUUCUUCCCCUCCCCUCCCAUAGCCCAUCCCUCUUCUCAUUCUAUCUUUUAAAGAUUUCGUAUGUUGUCCCUCUUCCCUCUCCCUGCUUGAUGCCUUGAGACCCUCCUGGUCUCCUGCCCCAGCCUCACUUCCUCCCAUCCAGAAGGAUCUUGCUAAACCACAAACGUGCCCCUGUCGGGUCUUGCCCCUGCUCAGAGCCUGCAAUGGCUCCCUCGGGCUCCAGUCCCCUGACUACGUGGCCCUCGGUGGCCUCACGCUGCUGCCUUCUUCAACCCCAUCUCUCGCCCCCGCCCUUUUCCCAGCACACCUGCCCUCAGCCCUUGAAUAAUCCCCAGACUGCUUGCCUUUUUGCACACGCAUCGUGGUCCAGCCUCCCGACCGUGAACAUUCAGUUUCCUCUGCUGGAAUCCCUUUCCCACGCUUCUCCACCCGGCGGAUGUUUCUCCAUCCUUCCGGGUCCAACUCCACCGUCCCCUCCGUUGAGUUCCCCCUAAACCCUCGGGGGAUAGGAACAAACACUCCCGGUUUCUGGAUGAAGAAACUGAAGCUCAGCGAGGACAAGCGACUCAUGGAAGGAAUCAGAGCCAGGGAGUGGGCAGAGUCAGGAUUUGGACUGAGGACCUCACCGCAGCCUGGCUCAUCUGGUUGUGUUGAGUGUUAUCUCAGCUUGGUCGGUUUUUAUUUUAUAACAUUCUCAACAGAGGCACACGUGUAUGUAAUUUAUGAAUAAAAAAUAAACUCCAUAUGCAGAGUGGC
ensembl:lncRNA